rnacentral:lncRNA from 1 species
UUGAAGUCAUUUGAUAUUUCAGUCUCUUCCAAAAUUUAUUGGAGGCUCCAACAAAAACUGACCAUGUAUACUCUUCUUCUUCUUCUUCUUAGUCUUGGAGAUGCUCACAAUCGGUCGACAUCUUCUUCAUUAACUUCUUCUUCACUUUAUUAGCCUCAAAUAAAUUCUGCAAAUCCACAUCAUGCUUUAUGUUUCACAUUUGGAGUUAAGUCAAAACAUCUUUCAUUAACAAAGUUGAGAUAUUAAAACUUGCCUUUGGAGGAGGUGGUAUUGCACUAUUGCAUCUUUCAAUAGUCUAUUGUGCUUGGGUUCGUUACUUGAUCAAAUCCGUAUUUAUAAAAAAAAACUUGCCUUUGGUGGCUCCUCCA